UAUUAGGUUAGCCAUGGAGAACUGCAAAUACAGUAUGUUUCUGCUGCUCUCAAUAACAUUGCUGCCCUGAAUUUAUCAGGCGCUAUCGACAAAGGUCAGUGGGAAAAAGUUGUGAUGGACUACUUUCUGGACUACUUUCUAGACAAAGAUCGUGCCAUGCAAUGCUGACUCUCUCAUUUCAUAACACGUUUUGAAAUCAGUGGAACAACGGGCCAAACAAGUUAUGCAAACUAAACGGAUACAACACAGGAUGUCUUAUAAAAGGGGUUGCAGUCGGCCAUGAAGCUUUCUUCCAUACAGCAUUAAUCAGUAGAACACACCUGCCACUAAUUCCCAGUCAUACAGUCAUCAACAAGAGAGCUGGCCCAAGCAAGCAAUGGCAGCAGCACAGUCAUUAUCUAUAUGAACCAUUUCUUCACCAACUACGGAGUUGGGAAAACUCGUGUGGACCUGAGUUGUGAUAACUGCAGUGGCCAAAACAAGUUUGUGCUCUGGUAUUGUGCCUGGUGGUUCAUGCACAAGCUCAACCAAAAUCUGAACCUUCACUUCCAGAUCACAGGCCGCACCAAGUUUGCCCCUGACUUGUGCUUUGGCCUCAUCAAGCAACGCUUCAGAAAUACCAGAGUAAACACUUUGUCUGAGAUUGGUGGUGAUGUGAAGUACAGGGGUCAGCGUCAAUGCUCCGGAGCAUGGUGUUGUUGCCAAGGAGUGUUCAGACUGUCAGGACCAGGUUUCAGCUGCUGCGCAACGCUGACAUCCUUACUUCCAUAGAUUGUCUGCCUGUAAAAGCACCACCUAGACACAGCUAGACAAACUAUAUUUUUGACAAGAUCAGGGAGUUUCGUGCCCUGCACCAAAGUCAAGGGCAGGACAGAAACAGACUCUCCGAAUAUAGAUUCACUUGUUCAUGCAUGGUUUGGACGGGCCAGUCAACAGCACUAUCUGUAGUGCCUCUAUUCACAUGACUCUCUCCCAACACACACGCCAUAUGUUGCUGCUAUUUUUUUUAUUCUGCUGCUCAGCCACUUUACCCCUGAUUGUAUGCAUAUAACUACCUUGUCUAUCACUAUCGUUAUUCUUCUUAUACGUACUGUAUAUUUUAUUUAUAUUGACACUAUCUAUUUCUGAUAUUGCUACUAUGCAAGUAACCAUUUGGCUGUACCGUUUACACCUUCUGUAGAGACUAUCCACUUCGCAAUUUAGCAGAAUAUUCAUAUGUUUGGUCGUAACAUGAUUUUGUGACCAUAAAAUUAUCAUGUGACCAUAUCAAGUCUCCACCACUUAAAUAUAUUGCGAAUGCAUUUGUUUAUGUACUGUACAUGUGCAUCUCACUCAGGUUUCAACUCGGGUUGCAUGACCUUCACUUAUGUAUGGAAUACUGUGAUAAGUGUAACAGUAUAUAAAGUAUGCUAAUGUUCUGGUGUGAAGGCAUUUGGGCAGUGGUGUAAAGUACUUAAGUAAAAAUUCUUUAAAGUACUUAAGUAGUGUUUUGUUGUAUCUGUACAUUACUAUGUAUAUUUGUCAACUUUCACUUCACUACAUUUGUAAAGAAAAUAAAUGUACUUUUUACUCCAUACGUUAUCCUUGACAACAAAAGUACUGAAGAAAAAAAAAUUUGACAGGAAAAUUGUCCAUUUCAAACACUUCUCAAGAGAACAUCCCUGGACAUCCAUACUGCCUCUGAUCUGGCAGACUCACUUAACACAAAUCCUUUGUUUGAAAAUUAUGUCUGUGUUGGCUAUCCAUCAAUAAAAGAUAAUACAA